GCCCUUACCCAAAAUGGUGGACAGACACCCCUCCCAUGCCUUUACCCAAAAUGGCAGUGACCGACCCCAUGGCCUGUCACAAAAUGGUUGAAUGACCCACAGCCUGCCCUAAAAUGAGCAGGCUGAGAAGUGUAGGUGUGUAUUAGACCUGUUGAAGCUGAAAGACACGUCUUUACAUAAUCAGGAGAGAACAAGGAGUCAUCAUGAUCCAAAAGAGCUUCCUGUUCUCUUCUCCCCCAAAGGAAGAGACAAAAAAUAUCACUGAGGUGCGGAAAACCAGGAGUUCAGAGUUGCAAAGGCUGCUGACAACCUCUCAUGGUGCUCUGUCUCAGAAGCUGUGAUUUCAAGAGGAAGCAAAGUGGGUCCUAAACGCUACCGAUAGCUGAAAAUUAGGAGAUGAAGAACACUUCAGAACGUUUAAGUGUGGAAUUGAAGGCAAACCAGCAGAGGUGUGUGAAGCUCUCAGGACCUGUACCCCAAGCACAGCAGUUAAAUGGCAGCAAUCUUCCUUGCAAUAGGCUGGAAGAUUUUAAGACCCAAAGGGAUCAGUGCGAUCCACAGAUUUGAUCUUCCAUAUAAGAGAGAACAGAAAAUAUCAUGCAGUAAUUCUUACACCACAUCUAAGAAGUUUUAGGUUACAGAAGAGUAUAUAUUCAGCUAAGGCAUCCAGACCCAGCUUCCAAGAUUUAGAGAUAUGGAGUGUUCACUGCCAGCCUUUUAAAAAUUUAUCUACCUGCCCUUAUUGCUAAGGAGGUUUGUCCAAUAUCCAGUUCCAACAGCUCUUUCUUCAGCAGAGGAAACCACUGCUGUUCACCCCCAGCUUUUUAUUACCCUCUUCAUCUUCUCUGAGCAGUAAAAUAUGAAGCAUAUUUUACAAAGUGAAGUAAAUAAUGAGAUUGAAAUAAAUUGCACAAAAAAGGAGGUGCUUGACAGUGUUUCUGACUGCCACUGUCUGGGAGAAUCAAUGGGAGACAGUCACAGUCAGAUAUCCAUUAAGCACAGAGUGCAUUAGUAAUUGCUUUAAUCAUCUUUCAUGCAAUAACCAUCACUGCUGUGUUCUCCUCUGCUCAGACUGUUUUCCUUCCCUUCCUCAUUGGAAAUGUUCCAUCACACAGUUUCCCUUGGUGCAGACCAAGCGCAGCAAGCAGCAAUGCUUUCCACUUUAUGCUUCAGGAAUUUCUACAGGUUUAACAGUUUUAAAACAGACAUUAAGCUUCUCUUUCUUCUGUGUUUUUUUCAGCUGUGAAAAUGCCUUUAAAACUCCUGAAUAUGCACCAUUUGACCUACUGAGCCUAAUAAUUUAGUGGCAUAAACCCUUAAACAUGAAGUCAACACUUAGUUUAGAUGAAGUGUCAACAGUGUGUAGGCAACAAGCUGACACAAAUCUUAAAGAAUUCAGCUUUUAAAAAGCCUUAAUUCCUUCUUUACUCCAAUUCUCUGCAAAAGAACCUUUCCACAGCUUUGUAUGGCUCUUUAAGCUAUGUCAGCACGAGUGGUAGCUUAAAGGUACAGCAAUUAAAUUAUGAGCAAAUGUAUGUAAAAACACAGUGUAAGAACAUUUCCAAAAACAGACUUUACAGGAAAUCAAUACAUUUUCACUGAGGUAGAUUGCCCAGCAUCAUCAGUGAAUGAAUUUUACUAAACCAGCUGUAGCAAGAGAAUCAAACCCAAGCACCACCAAGGAAAGCAAUUGUAUUCAUUAGGAACCCACAAAUGACACAGCUUUUCACAAGCAGCUACGCAACUCCAGGGGGUCCCAUUUGAAUCUCAGCUCUAUCAUGCUGCAGUUCCACCUUUGUAUACUCAAAAUAAUAAUAAUAAAAAAAGCUAAUUCUUGGAAAGUAUGAGGAUUUUUGUUUUACCCGGGCAAUGAGUAACAUUAUCAUAACCUGAGGGGAAAAUACCGGUGAAUCAACAUUUUCUUAAUUAACUUUAUUGUAGUCUUGGUCUUACGCUGAUCCUUGAGGAAGGGCAAUCUUUUUUCAGUGGCUGAAGCAUUAGAACAGGAGCACCUAUUGCUGUAUUUAAUGAGGUUGAGAGAUACUGCAAUUUUUUGAGUAAAGAGUUGAGGUCUCCCUUUAAAAACAAGUAUUACAGAAUAGUAUUCUUUCUUUCUGAGGCAUACAGCAUUUUACAAGGAAACUUAAUGAAGUAGGCUCUAAGGUAUUUCCUGUAAUAUAUUUCAAUAAAAGAAAGUAUAAGCCAGUAAAGUUGCUCAUGUAAGCAUUGAGGAUUUAAGGAAUUACUUAAACAAUGAAUGCAUGAAGCUAUUAACCUUCUUGGAGAAUUAAAAUGUGCCCCUACGUGAUGAAUCGAAAGCAGCAGUCAUUUCAACUCUGAAGGACUGGUUUUAUACAUGUGACUGAAACAUAAUUAAAGAAAUAUGAAAUUGUGCUGCAUCCAGAGAAAAUUAGACCAGACUUCUAGACCAUGAGAACACCUUUGCAACAGCUUUUAUUUGGUACAUUCAUACACCAGUUACCUCUUGGCAAUGGCACAGGCCCAGGAAGGUUAUAUGCUAGCAGCUGGUCUCAAGUGAAGGCACAACCUAGUGAAAUGAGUAAUUUUAAAGUUUUAUUUCUUUGCAAUAUUCUGCUAUGCUGGAAACAUUAAGAGGAUCUUCAUGACUAAGUAAAAUUUUGCUUGUGCGCAGCUUAUUGCAUAAAAGCAGUAGCAACAAAAAGCCCUGAUACCAGACUAAUCUGGGUACAGGUUAUCUGCAUAUGUCAGGUAUUUAAAGGGAAAUUUUAUAAUAGGAAAGGUUUAGAAAAUUUAAAACACUUUCUCUCUGACAGAGGUCACAGGAAUGUUCUCUGUUUAAACCAGCUGGAACACUGAUAGUGUGAGAUUAAAUAAAACAUAAAAAGGAUAAAAGAAUUACCAUAUACUUUAAAAAGCCACAAAACCAAAACCCAGAGAGCAGAAAUGAGAACAAUAAGAGGUAUUUUUUCAACUCACUGAAGCGUCCUCCUGCUUAAGGAAGCCCUUCCUGGUGCCCUUUUGCAUGUCACCAGUUUUGUGUGUCCCCAUCAAUUCAUUUUCCACUGGUAUCAUGAUUAUCUAAUUAGUACCAAUCUGUCACUGUCAAUUAGGAACUCAGGAGAUCUUCAGGUUCUCUAAAAGCGGUCACUUGGCCAUGAGAUAAUAUCAAAACAUCAUUACCAUACCAUUUAUCAGGUUGGCUUUUUUACCUUUUACUAAUUUGUUCAGCACCUGAGUCUUCUGGAUGUUUAUGAAUAUAACAUGUUCGUAUUGCUAAUUAUAUCAUAUUUUGCCUAUGCACU